rnacentral:rRNA from 1 species
UACGUAGGGGGGCGAGCGUUGUCCGGAUUUAUUGGGCGUAAAGGGCGCGCAGGCGGCGCUUCAAGUCCGUUGUGAAAUUUCAGGGCUUAACCCUGACGGGUCAACGGAAACUGAAGGGCUAGAGUGCAGCAGAGGAAAGCGGAAUUCCCGGUGUAGUGGUGAAAUGCGUAGAUAUCGGGAGGAACACCAGAGGCGAAAGCGGCUUUCUGGGCUGUAACUGACGCUGAGGCGCGAAGGCUAGGGGGAGCAAACAGG